rnacentral:tRNA from 1 species
UUCCGACACAGGGACUCGAACCCUGGUUUGGAACGUGAGAGGCUCCUGUGAUAACCACCUACACUAUAUCGGA